UACGGAGGAUCCAAGCGUUAUCCGGAAUCAUUGGGUUUAAAGGGUCCGCAGGCGGUUUUGUAAGUCAGUGGUGAAAGCCCAUCGCUCAACGGUGGAACGGCCAUUGAUACUGCAAGACUUGAAUUAUUGGGAAGUAACUAGAAUAUGUAGUGUAGCGGUGAAAUGCUUAGAGAUUACAUGGAAUACCAAUUGCGAAGGCAGGUUACUACCAAUAUAUUGACGCUGAUGGACGAAAGCGUGGGGAGCGAACAGG
rnacentral:rRNA from 1 species